rnacentral:rRNA from 1 species
AGUUUGGUCCUGGCUCUGAGCGAACACUAUGGACGCGUCUAAGACAUUGCAAGUCAAAAGGGCGGAAGAAGGGGAGGAACCUGACAAAGAAGUACCUUGGCGCACGGGGGUAGAGAGGUCCUGGAUGAGGCCUAAGCGACGGGUAAAAGGGGAAGCCAGAAAUGGAAGAAGCGGAAUGCCGGGAUAGAAAAAGGUCAGAGAAGACCGCGCUUGGAGAAACAGGAUUCACGUUAUGGUAGUAGGAGAGGUAGAGGCUCAACUAGCCAAGGAUGUGUAGCGGAGUUGAACGACAGAACCGCCCCACUGGUAGUGAGAGAGGACCAGACUUCAUAGGAAGGCAGCAGUCGAGAAUCUUGGUCAAUGGGCGAAAGCCUGAACCAGCGACGUCAAAGAUGGAAGAAGGCAUAGGUUGUAAACAUCAGAACCCAAGAAAGAGAGAUGACAGAAAAAGGGGGAGGAGUCCCGUCCAAUGAUUGUGCCAGCAGACGCGGUCAUUCAACGGGGGCGAGUGUUGCUCAUAGGGAUUUGGUGUAAAGGGUACGUAGGCGGCACGUGGAAAGACGAAGGAGAAAGCCUCAUCAAGAGUGAGAGGAGACCGAUUGUAACGCACGAGCUAGAGUAGAGCAGAGGCACCUGGAAGUUUGGGAGGACCGGUAGAAUGGGAUGAGGACCAAGAGAACAACAGAGGCGAAGGCGAGGUGCUGGGUGAAAGAAAACUGACGCUGAGGUACGAAAGCAUGGGGAGCAAAGGGGAUUAGAGACCCCCGUAGUCCAUGCUGUAAACGAUGUGGACAACUAGGCCAAGGGGAAGAGAGGAGACCCCAGAGGGAAAGUUAACUAACGUGAAAGUCCACCACCUGGAGACUACUGUCGCAAGGCAGAAACUCAAAGGACCAGCCGGGUGCUUGUCAAGACGGUGGGACAUGCCAUUUAAUUCGAUAGUACGCGAGAAACCUUACCACGGAUAGGAGACCCAAAAGAGAGAAGGACACACGAAGAAGAGGUGGACGGAAAGGAGGGUCGGCAGGUGUUACAUAGCUGUCGUCAGUUCGUGCCGUGAGGUGUUUGGUUAAGUCCAAGAAACGAACGUAACCCCAGACCAGGCACGAAGAAAGAGAAAGCGUGAGUUGGUGAGAAGAUCAGAUAAUGAGAAGGAAGUGGGACGAAGUCAAGUCCGUAUGACCCAUAUGCCGUGGGCGAUCGGUGUGUCACAAAGGCAAUGGGCAGAGAGGAGCGAUGAGGAGAACUCGGAGUGAAGCUAGAAGCCAUGCCAUCGUACAGAUCGCGGGCUGAAAGAGGCCGCGUGAAGGAGGAACCGUCAGUAAUCGGCUAUGAGAACGGGCCGGUGAAAGUGAACGAAAGCAUUGGACUUACCGCCCGUCAGAGGUUGGAAGGGACUUGGAUAGGAAGUGAAGACAAAACUUGAAGGAGGAAGCAAGUGCGUGUUACACGGUGAUUUGGGGCCUGACUGACUUUAAGUCGUAACAAGGUGACAGUAGGAGAACCUGUUGUCG